rnacentral:rRNA from 1 species
AUGAGCACGGUGCUCACAAAGAUUUCUUCCGCUACGAGCGGUUUGAAUGAGGCAUUUACAAGCCUGCUCAAAGGCUUUGAGGUAUCUAAGGAUCCGGCAGCUGACCAGUCUGUUGAAAUUGCCGAACUAAGGAGGCAGAUCGGAUCUAUCGAUGCCGAUAUCAUGCUGGUGAACAAACGGCUGGAAGAGUCACAGGAUGGUGCUGCUGCCGUGGAGGCCCUGAGGGCGGAACUUGCUCAGGUCAAGGAACAAGCUCGGGCUAGCAAUGCGGCUUCCCUAAAGGUGGCCGAAGAAUUGAGAGCCGAACAGGCUGCUCAUCACCGAAGCGAGGAAAAGAUAGCCGAAAUGGCUGGGGAGUUGAAAAAUGCCACCGAUCGGUAUGUACUCCUUGAAAAGGAGAAUAAGGCUAGUUCGGCCGAGCUGGACAAGGCACUUAAUGCCGCCAAAGAGAUGCGGACCGAGAUCUGGGGUAUGCGGGAGGAGCUCCAACAGCCUGACAAAAUCGUGGCUGGGGGCUCCUACUUAUUGCGGACAAAGUUUUUGGAUCCGAAGUAUGCUCCCCUGGCUGGGCGCUGGAGUCCUGCAGACGCAUAUGCGGACUUGGUGAAUAGUACAGCUGACGCUGUCAAGUUCUUUGAGGGUCAAGGUGAUAAGGAAGUGGAGAAGCUUUUCUGGUCGCAAUUCAGUUCUUCCACUCGCCCGCUGCCUCUAAAGGAGAAGGUGGCUGCUGUGGCGGAGCUUCACAGGCUGUCCGGGCUUGCAAUGCGGUCUGUAGUAGACCAUCUUUGGCUGAAGGGGCCUAAACCGGACAGUUACUUUGGUUUGGUGCAGCAGUUCCUUGGGGCCGUGUCUCGAAUUGACGCCAUGAGGAGGUUGGCGUGCAUAGAGGGUGCACGAAUGGCUCUUGCCCGCAUUAAAGCCUAUUGGACGGAUAUGGAGGCCACCAUUAUAGCGACCCAGGAUCCGGCGGGAGGCCAAUAUCCGGCCGAGCACUACUUGGGGCAGGUCAUAGAAGGUGCCCGCCUAAUAGAGGCGCAGUGCUCGAAGAAUGUCUUGUUCGAGUGA